AACGAACGCUGGCGGCAGGCCUAAUACAUGCAAGUCGAGCGAGCGGCGGACGGGUGAGUACUGUCUAGGAAACUGCCGGCAGGCGGGGGAUCACCACUGGAAAAGGUAGCUAAUCACGCAUUCCAUCCGAUGUGCCGAGGUGGGAUUGGCUAGUGGGGGGGGUAAGGGCUUACCAGGGCGACGAUCCCUAGCUGGACGGAGAGGGUGACAGGCCACACUGGAACUGAGAAACGGCCCAGACUCCGACGGGAGGCAGCAGUGGGGAAUAUUGGGCAAUGGGCGAAAGCCUGAUGGAGCCAUGCCGCGGGUGUGAAGAAGGCUUUCGGGUGGUAAAGCACUUUCGUCGGGGAGGCGUUACCUACCGAGAAAGCACCGGCUAACUCCGUGCCAGCAGCCGCGGUAAUUC
rnacentral:rRNA from 1 species